CCUACGGGAGGCAGCAGUGAGGAAUAUUGGUCAAUGGACGAGAGUCUGAACCAGCCAAGUAGCGUGAAGGAUGACUGCCCUAUGGGUUGUAAACUUCUUUUAUAUGGGAAUAAAAUGAUCCACGUGUGGGCUUUUGUAUGUACCAUAUGAAUAAGGAUCGGCUAACUCCGUGCCAGCAGCCGCGGUAAUACGGAGGAUCCGAGCGUUAUCCGGAUUUAUUGGGUUUAAAGGGAGCGUAGGUGGAUCGUUAAGUCAGUUGUGAAAGUUUGCGGCUCAACCGUAAAAUUGCAGUUGAAACUGGCAGUCUUGAGUACAGUAGAGGUGGGCGGAAUUCGUGGUGUAGCGGUGAAAUGCUUAGAUAUCACGAAGAACUCCGAUUGCGAAGGCAGCUCACUGGACUGCAACUGACACUGAGGCUCGAAAGUGUGGGUAUCAAACAGGAUUAGAUACCCGGGUAGUC
rnacentral:rRNA from 1 species